UGUGGUUUAAUUCGAUGCAACGCAAGAACCUUACCUGGUCUUGACAUCCCGGAGACCCUUAGGAAACUAGGGGGUGCUUCCAUCUGGAAGAAUCUGGAGACAGGUGCUGCAUGGCUGUCGUCAGCUCGUGUCGUGAGAUGUUGGGUUAAGUCCCGCAACGAGCGCAACCCUUGCCUUUAGUUGCCAGCAGUUCGGCUGGGCACUCUAAAGGGACUGCCGGUGUUAAACCGGAGGAAGGUGGGGAUGACGUCAAGUCCUCAUGGCCUUUAUGACCAGGGCUACACACGUACUACAAUGGCCGAUACAAAGGGCAGCGACACUGCGAGGUGAAGCCAAUCCCGUAAAAUCGGUCUCAGUCCGGAUUGGAGUCUGCAACUCGACUCCAUGAAGUUGGAAUCGCUAGUAAUCGUGGAUCAGCAUGCCACGGUGAAUACGUUCCCGGGCCUU
rnacentral:rRNA from 1 species